CAGGAGUUAUUGGACAAAGGUUUCAUUAGACCUAGUUCAUCGCCAUGGGGAGCUCCGAUGUUAUUCGUAAAGUUUCAUUAGACCUAGUUCAUCGCCAUGGGGAGCUCCGGUGUUAUUCGUAAAGAAGAAAGAUGGAAGUAUGAGGAUGUGCAUUGAUUACAGAGAGCUGAAUAAAGCAACGAUAAAGAAUAGAUACCCGUUGCCGAGGAUUGAUGACCUGUUCGAUCAACUACAAGGUUCAAGUUAUUUUUCAAAGAUCGACCUGAGGUCAGGAUAUCAUCAGCUGAAAGUAAGAGAGCAGGAUAUAGAGAAGACUGCAUUCAGAACACGAUAUGGACACUACGAGUUUUUGGUU
rnacentral:lncRNA from 1 species